UACGUAGGGUGCGAGCGUUGUCCGGAAUUAUUGGGCGUAAAGAGCUCGUAGGCGGUCUGUCGCGUCGAUCGUGAAAACUUGGGGCUUAACCCUGAGCUUGCGGUCGAUACGGGCAUGACUGGAGUUCGGCAGGGGAGACUGGAAUUCCUGGUGUAGCGGUGAAAUGCGCAGAUAUCAGGAGGAACACCGGUGGCGAAGGCGGGUCUCUGGGCCGAAACUGACGCUGAGGAGCGAAAGCGUGGGUAGCAAACAGG
rnacentral:rRNA from 1 species